rnacentral:lncRNA from 1 species
GGGAACUUGAGGAGUUGAUGCGGCAGAAGUACCCGGAACUUUUCGUUGUGGGUAAGUGUUGUUGAUUUGCUAAGCUUUUCUUGUGUCAUUCCGAUAGAAGCGUCAGAAUUCGAGGACGAAUUCUUUUUAAGAGGGGUAGAAUGUGAUACCCGGUUUGCAAAGAAGAGAAGUUGGGGGUUGUUUUUUUUGUUUUUUUUCCUCAUCCAGUUGUUGUUUUGGGGAUUUGGAAUUUUGUGAAUAACAUUCGCAACUAGGGCAGUAGAUUUUUUUUUUGGUUUGACAUUUGCGUUGCGGUCGGGAGCUGUCGCGUGGGUUAGUUGGGCCGCAAUUGGUGUUUCGGCCCAUUAGGCCUCCCAAACCCUAGCCGCCACCCUCCUAUCUACUCCCCCUCAAGGAUGCCGCCCCCCCACUCCUCAUUUCCCCUUGGCCGCCGCCCCCCCUGUCCACCUCCUCCUCCCUCCAUUGUUGCAGCCACCAAAACCCUAGCCGCCCCCCCCAAUCCCCUCCUCCCUAGGUGCUACUCCGUGCCGCUCGGAUCAUCGUCUUUUGGUGCGAAUCUCCAAUCAUUUUGGUGGAAGGAAGAAGGGAGGAAGGAAAAGGGGAGAACCUAAGGUGAUUUUUCUUUUGUGUUCAUCCCUUGUUCAUUUGCGCUGCGAUUCAAUGGUUUAGAUGUUGCGUUUGCGAUUAGAUAGAGGGGGGGGGGGGCUGUCCAGAAUUUUGCGUGGUGGAUGAACAGCGGUAGUUCCAGCAGUUUUUAGUUUUUUUUCGUGAAGAUUUAAUGGGGAUCAAUUUGGGAAUCUUGUAGAACUUUGUUUUAUCUUUCCAACGAGUAUUUAUGCGCUCAAUUUGGAGUUAUAAAUUAAAAGUUAUCAUCAUUUGAAUCCGGGUAUGUGGCUGUCCAGAAAACAGAUUUUUCAGAGUGAUGAACAGCAACAGUGUUAGCAGUUUCUGGGAAUUUUUCGGGAGCAAUUAGUGUUAAUCAGUAUUAGAAUCUUGUAGAACUUUGUUUUAUCUUUCCAACGAGUAUUUAUGCGCUCAAUUUGGAGUUAUAAAUUAAAAGUUAUCAUCGUUUGAAUCCGGGUAUGUGGCUGUCCAGAAAACAGAUUUUUCAGAGUGAUGAACAGCAGCAGUGUUAGCAGUUUCUGGGGAUGUUUCGGGAGUAAUUAGUGUUAAUCAGUAUGAGAAUCAUGUAGGGCUUUUUCUUAUCUUUCCAACAAGUACUUAUGCGCUCAAAUCGGAAUUAUAUUUUAAAAGUUAUCGCUGUUUGAAUCCGCGUAUGUCGCUGCUCAAAUCAGAAAAAAACAGAUUGCAGGGUUUAUUUUGAGGACCGUUUAGAGGUAAGUAGAUGUUAGAAUUCAAUCAUGAGUUGUAUAUAAAACUUGUGGGGAAUUUUAUGUAGUUGUCUCUGAAGUUUUUGUUUAUUAUCACUGCUGUCCUAAAUUUUAAGUUAUGGACUUGUUAAGCAGCGCCGCUGCAGUUUGGUUAGUGAGGGGAGAAUUGUUACCGUGGCGGGGUUUGAGAUUGCGCGUAGGUGCGGUGUUGUCUUUGAGUUUUUUUUUCAUGAGAAUUUGGUGCACUAAGUUGGGUGUCAAAAACAGGUGGUGGACUUCCGGAUCGUUCUUAGGGAUUUUGCCCUAACUUCGGUAAAGGCAAGUAAAACAGUGAUGGUUAUUUCGUCUUUUGAUUGAAGAGGCUCAUACUUGAUUAUGUUUGUGCUAUUUGUGUUCGUAUCCAUUUUCCUAAUUGGGUACCAUCGUUUGAAAUUAUUUAUGCUUUAUUGAUUAUACAUGUGGAGGGUGUGGUUUGAUCAUGUUACCCAUGUGGUUAUUGAUGUGAAAUGGGUGGAAGUAUAUGUCUAGCACAUUUUAUUUGGGAAGAACUCAUGUUGUUGACAUGCAUAAUGCAUUCAUCAUCCAUUGCAUUGAAGUUUUCGUCGCGAUCUUAUGGUCCGACCGUACCGGUACAAAUGAGCAUCAUAUGUUUCCCGAGAAGGGGUAUGAUGCAGCUUCAUAUCCUUAGAGGUAUGAAGGCAGAAGUCAUGUUGCAUCUGUAGCCAUGUGCAUUCAUGGGUGAAGUGUGGAACCUAUUUUGGUGAUGUGGAUAAGGUGGAUCUUUACUUUGUAAUUCAUCUUGGCAUUGAGUAAUUGAUUACUUGCUUACUUGCUGCAAAUUAAUAUUUAAGGAAGAAGUGGGGAACCAUGUGGUUGCUUAUGCACGGUUGGCUUGCAUUGUCCAACUGUUGUUUGUUUUUUUUACUUGCUGAGAUGUGUCAUCUCACUCUUGCAUUGUCUGAUGCAGGCACCUGAUCUUUGCUUUGGGAAAGAAGGGAUGUAGCAGCACGGCCACCACACUUUUAAAUAAAGGAAUAACUGUUUAUUAAUGAUGUUAAACAGGAAGGGUCAAGUCUAGGGAAUUAUUACAUUCUAAUCUUUCAUGGUAGUUGAACUGUUUAGUUUGGUGGGCUGAGAUGUCUAUCUUUUGUCUGGUCAUGAAUGUUUUUUUCUACCGUUGCAUUUUGAUUAUACUAUGGCAAUUAUCUUUCUUUUAUAUCCUGUAUAAACUAUAUGCUUCCCUUGUUAUGCUACUUUCAAGGGAGGUGCUGCCGGAUUUUGCAGUACUUUCUUUCUCUAUGUGUUGCAUGAGUCUUGUAGAAAGGUUUUUUUUGGUAUCAUCCAUUGUGUGGGAUCAGUGGGGUG